UCCUCCUCCUCAUCAUCAUCAUCCCAGUCUUCCUCUUUAAACGGUGCUCCAUAUUGGGCACCAUUCUUUGGGCCAGGACCGUCCUUCUUAAACACUGAACAGAUCACAUAAGCAUCCUGAGCAAAUCCUCUGAGAUCCACCCCCUUGUCUUCAAGUCUAUAUUCAUGCAUAACCCAAUCCGUUCGGUCCCCUUUUGGUGCUUUACCUCUGUGAAAAACCAAGGUUUUUAUCAUCCCCACAACUUCAUCAUUGUAAUGAACACAUCUAUCCUUGCCUGUGGUUUUCCAAUACCCGAAUUCAGUAGCACGGUUCAUUCUAGUUCCACUUGCAUAUUUCUUCUCUCGUGGGCAAAAGAAAUACCACUUCAGAUCCCCAGUCCGCAAACAAGAUUUAUCCGGAAGAUCCCAAGGAGGAAACUUGUAAAUAUCGACCUCUGCAAUGGCAUCAAAAUGAAGCUUCUUCCCCAUCACUUUUCUCUUCAAAUAGUACUUCACAAGUUCAACAUCAGUAGGAUGAAACCGGAACCCUGGAGGCAAUGAUCUUUUCCCCAUAAUUCAAGCGUUAAAAAAGCCCACUGUGUGCAGAAGUUAUUAAAUCCAAUAUACGCUGUUACUUCAAGGCGCAAUCCAAAGAGUGGUUGUACAGAAGAUCACCAAAUCCCUAAAUCCUACAAAGCAGUUUUGCCUCUUGCAAAGAAGAUUAAACGAGAUGUCUAACUUUUAAACAGAAGUAAAACAGGAAACAAGGCAUCAAGUCCAAUGGCGAAACACUAUCUUCUGCGAACACCACAGUCUCCCCCGGCUCAUAAACCCAAAGUCACACCAAAGAUAUGCCCAAUUUUUCUUGCAGAAAUCAAAAGACAUUUGAUGUGCAAUAUAAACCCAAGAAGAGGAAUAGGACGCCAAGGGAGAGGAGAGAGCGCCGAAAAGAGAAGCAGAGCUCAAGCCACCAGUUAGAGCGAAGAGCGAAAUGAG
rnacentral:misc_RNA from 1 species